rnacentral:rRNA from 1 species
AGUUUGAUCCUGGCUCAGAACGAACGCUGGCGGCGUGGCUAAGACAUGCAAGUCGAACGGACUAUACAAUUGAGUAAUCGAGAGUGUAGUUAGUGGCGAAAGGGUUGGUAAUGGAUAGGUAACGUACCCUGUGCAUCGGGAUAGCGUCGAUUGCUUCGGCAAUCUUCCGAAAGGGGCGGUAAUACCGAAUAAUAUCAUUUGUUGAUAGGCAAAUGAUCAAAGAUUUAUCGGCAUAGGAGCGGCCUAUCUCCUAUCAGCUUGUUGGUGAGGUAAAAGCUCACCAAGGCUUUGACGGGUAGCGGGACUGAGAGGUUGACCCGCAACAUCGGGACUGAGACACUGCCCGGACCUCCACGGAGGGCUGCAGUAACGAAUCUUGCGCAAUGGGCGAAAGCCUGACGCAGCGACGCCGCGUGUAGGAGGAAGUCCUUCGGGAUGUAAACUACUGUCAGGGAUAUGAAAGUCAGCUUAGGCUGAUUGAUCUGUCCCAGAGGAAGUCACGGCUAACUUCGUGCCAGCAGCCGCGGUAAGACGAAGGUGGCUAGCGUUGUUCGGUGUCACUGGGCUUAAAGCGUGUGUAGGCGGAAAAGUAAGCGUCUUGUGAAAGCCCUCGGCUUAACCGAGGAACUGCUGGACGAACUACUUUUCUUGAGGCAGGCAGGGGUGCACGGAACUCUUGGUGGAGCGGUGAAAUGCGUAGAUAUCAAGAGGAACGCCAGUGGUGAAGACGGUGCACUGGGCCUGUUCUGACGCUCAGACACGAAAGCGUGGGGAGCGAACGGGAUUAGAUACCCCGGUAGUCCACGCCGUAAACGAUGUCUACUAGGUUGUGGGAGUUCUGACGCUAUCACGGCCGAAGCAAAAGUGUUAAGUAGACCGCCUGGGUAGUACGGCCGCAAGGCUAAAACUCAAAGGAAUUGACGGGGGCUCACACAAGCGGUGGAGCAUGUGGAUUAAUUCGAAGCAACGCGUAGAACCUUACCUGGGUUUGACAUGCUUGGAUGCUAUCCGGGAAACCGGGGAUGCUGCCCUUCGGGGUGAAACUUGCACAGGUGCUGCAUGGCUGUCGUCAGCUCGUGUCGUGAGAUGUCGGGUUAAGUCCCUUAACG